rnacentral:rRNA from 1 species
UACGUAGGUGACCAGCGUUGUCCGGAUUUACUGGGCGUAAAGAGCGCGCAGGCGGUCGUUCAAGUCGAGUGUGAAAGCCCCCCGGCUCAACUGGGGAGGGUCAUUCGAUACUGAUCGACUUGAAGGCAGGAGAGGGAAGUGGAAUUCCCGGUGUAGUGGUGAAAUGCGUAGAUAUCGGGAGGAACACCAGUGGCGAAGGGCGGCUCU